GAAAUGCGAUAAGUAAUGUGAAUUGCAGAAUUCAGUGAAUCAUCGAAUCUUUGAACGCACAUUGCGCCCGCCAGCAUUCUGGCGGGCAUGCCUGUCCGAGCGUCAUUUCAACCCUCAGGCUCCCGCGCCUGGCGUUGGGGAUCGGCCUUCACCGGCCGGCCCCGAAAUACAGUGGCGGCCCCGCCCGUGUACCUCUGCGUAGUAGCAAAACCUCGCAGCUGGGAGCGGCGGCGGCCACGCCGGAAAACCCCCGACUUCUGAAAGUUGACCUCGGAUCAGGUAGGAAUACCCGCUGAACUUAA
rnacentral:misc_RNA from 1 species